rnacentral:tmRNA from 1 species
GGGGAUGUAAAGGUUUCGACGGGGGUUGUGAAGUUCGAUAAGCGGGCAGAGGUCGCCUCAUCUCUUUAAACGGGGCAAACGUUUAUAAAUUUAAACGACAACUCUAAUUUUGAAUUAGCAGCUGCUUAAUUGCUGCUCGUCCGACAGAGAAGUACCGCGGUCUCUGAUUCGGGCGUCGACUAGCGGUGAACGUCUGGGGAAUUCGUCUGCGCUCCUCUGAUGUAUCAGCAGACUACCAAGCAUCUGAGCCUGUCCGUCGGCGCUGAUGCAAGGGAACGCAAAUGACGGAAUACGCCCGUAGAAGUUCGUAUGGAUCGGCUUUCGGACAGGAGUUCGAUUCUCCUCAUCUCCACCA